UACAGAGGGUGCUAGCGUUGUUCGGAAUCAUUGGGCGUAAAGGGCGUGUAGGCGGUUUGUUAAGUCAUGUGUGAAAUCCCUCGGCUCAACCGGGGAACGACGCAUGAAACUGGCAAGCUAGAGUACCAAAGAGGGGGGUGGAAUUCCCGGUGUAGCGGUGAAAUGCGUAGAUAUCUCCAAGAACACCGGUUGCGAAGGCGGUCGACUGGGUCCACAUUGACGCUGAGGCUCGAAAGCAUGGGGAGCAAACAGG
rnacentral:rRNA from 1 species